AAACCCCACCGAAAUAGAAGAAGAAGAAGACCGUUAUCAUCAGAGAGGAAUGUUUAAGACGUGUGUAGCGUUCUUUUACAUUUUACUGUAGAAAUUGCGAGAGUGAUGAUUUAGGGGAUAUUAUCAAUAAAUCCUUUCCAAUAAGGCCUGACAUAAGGGACAUAUACAACAUCCUGCUGAAACAAGCUGAGUGAGCUGUGACUUACAUCUAAAAUGAGUCUCUCUGGGGAGAGAGAGGAGGAGACUGCCUCCAAAAUGAGUCUCUCUGGGGAGAGAGAGACCACUGCCUCCAAAAUGAGUCUCU